CUCAUUUCCUCUUUUUGGGUCGCCAACCCGCCUUCACCACGUCGUGCCGCUUCUUGGGCGACGAUGUAGAGGCGGCCGUGAAUGGCGCCGCUGUCGAGGUCGGCCGAAAUUUGGACGGAGCAAGCUGCUGCUGAAUGCAGCUGGGCCGGAUGCGUCGAGCGGCGGCUGCCGCGGAAGUCAGCAGGUAGCGCGGUGCCUCUUCUUUCCAAAACGAGGGCCUCCUCUCUCAGUUGGCCGUCUCGCCUGUGGUUGUCUCCAUGGCGGUACCAUCAAUCAUCAAGAUGUGCCGCUAGGGCCAGAGGCCACUUCUCUCCCUCUCUGCCGUGUGCGCAGCUAUCAGCUUGCUGCACCCUCCUCUCUCUCUCCCGAGACGGCUGGUGGCGUGGAGAAGGAUCUCAAACGUCCCCUUUCCUUCUCGAGGUGGCUGGCGGCGAGGUUGAGGAAUGAGGGCCCGGUGCCCUCCUCUUCUUCUUGACCUGUGCGGCCAUCCCCGUGGCCAAUCCUCUCUCAAGUGGAGGACGUGUGGGUGGUCGCCGGCAGAGCAGACGAACUGGAGUGGCCGAGUGGGGGCGGCGCUCAAGCCUCCUCCUCUCACCGACACGGGCGCCCUCCCCCUCUCUCCCUGGCUGUCGUGGGAGCCCCUGCCUCAGUUCCUCCCUGUUGGCUCAGGACCGGAAGCGGGAAGGAGAUUUCUCACUUGGUCUGUGUGGCCUAAAGCAAUUCAUCCAACCGACAACCCAUAUGCUUAGCAUGCAGUGCAUCUGAGAUUUCUUCUUGCUAGCCUGGAUAUAUUAAUUAUGGCUGCUGGGAGUGGUCUGAUGAUCUGAAUUUUUUUCGCUGUAAGAUUCCGCAAUUACAUAUUGGAGCUCACUGUAUAGUCAAACAUGGACUGAACUGGGUGUUCGAGGAACUGAACAUUCAAAAUUAACGUUCAUAAGCUUAAGGUACUAACAUUAGUGCAGCCCGGUUGACCCAUAAGUUCUUACAGUUUCAAGGUGUUUCUUUGAAGGUCUUGGCGGCGUUCUAGAUGGUGUUGCCGGCGUGGCUAGGCCUCUUCUAGGCGCAGACGGCGAGCCGGGACCUGGUACCUGGAGGCCGCGGCAAGGGGCGCAUACAUCCUUCUGGACAUUGUCAACCGGUGGAGCAGGUCGUGGGUGAGGCCGUCAGGAGGAGCAUGCUGCAGUUGCGCGUAUUAGAUUCUCUGUCCAGGGCUUCUCCCCACCACUGGUCCUUGCUUUCCCCACCGCCGGCUUCUCCAUUUGCUGUUCCGUUGAUGGCUGCUCCCGCUGUUCUAGAUAGUUGGAGAUGUUCUUGAUCUGAUGUGUUUAAUCUAAGUGUCGAGGCAUGAACACAUACUAAUGUGGGUUUUCUGAAAUAUUUAAUUUAUUUUGGCUUGACUAGCACUUGGAUUUCAAACGAGGACGGAGUUGUUUUUCUUUAGGCAUUGGUCUAAUUUUUUUUUGCCAUGUUUGGCUGUGACUGCAAUUGCUUUGAUGACCAGGUAGGAUAUUGCCCUGUUAAACAAAAUUCUAGGAAUGUACGCAGCUGUUGAGAUGUGCUACUGCAUAAAAAAUAUUGUCGGUGCUCUUACUUGGGCAGUACCACCUACUGGCAGUAGAUUAGUAAUGGAUGGAUACACAUGCGCAGGUCACCGCUAUCUCAGGUAUUUUCUCCAAAUCCAUUCAUGAAAAUGGGUGUUAGGUAUCUGCAUAUUAUGUACAUUUCUGACUAUGUGAGCAAAUUGUCCCCUGCUACUUCUGUUGGCUCGAACCGUUUGUCCAGCUGCUACUUCUGCCCGUUGUCGAGCCAUUUUCUCUUGACGAGAGCAUGCCGGUUUAGCCUGUGAUUUUUCUGUUGACAUGGACGCUUGGAGGCUUGCAAUUCAUCUUGGCUUACUGGAUUUCUUUGGUCUUUCUUAAAGGUGAUCGGUCUUAGUAAUUCUACUGAUUAAUCUUCGGAUCUGCAGGCUGGCUCUGUUUAUUGUCCUUUUUCAGGCUGCUCUUCUUCAGAUUCAGGUCCUACAUCAGACAGUGGGUGCUGUCAUAUUCUCUUUCUUGAUGCACUGGUGGUUCAGAUUUGAAUAUGGGGUACACAUAUAAAUAUGUAUGUUCUUGGAAGGGACUCUAUGCUAUUGAUACUAUACUGCUUAUCAACUUGAUCUCCCACUACGCCCUCAAUGUUUGAGUUGAAAGGUCAAUUAUCAAGUGGCAUACAAGACCUACUGUGAGGGCGAGAUUCAGCACAGAAAAAGAAGUACAGAACCAAUACAGUUUUUCGAUCCAACAGUGCUUAGCCUUCCCUUAAGUUUGUAGUUCUUGCUUUGGAUAUUGGGUUACUAUCGAAGAAAUCUUCUGCUAUUUUGAAUAAAUCGGCAUGCACUUUCUUUUUCUGAAAUACUCUAUGUGUCAUCAGUAAAUAGGGUGAAGGUCAUAAUGCAUAUUGCUUGGGUAAACAAGAAUUGGAUUGGUGGAACAAAUAUUACCUAUGAACACUGUUUGAAAAGAUGGGAUUGCACAACAAGAAAAUGUGUAGACAACUUAUCAUGUCUUUUUAUCGCUUUCAUAUCUAUGACAUUUUUUUUCCAGAUAACCGUCUUUGUCUUAUCCACUUAAAUUGGCAGGGUAAUGUGCGUUCUUGCUUUGUAUCCCUAGAUUGACUACUCAACCUUAACCAAUUUUUGAAACUCCAAAAGGAGACUCCCGUGCGCCAAUUUUUUUUUUGCAUAUACAAUUCAUGGUAAUUUAGAGGAUGAGAUGCAUGUUUCUGAUACGUGUAAUCAGAUAGAUUAAUUGUUACCAAAUUAGGUUGUUUGAUGCCUGAAAACCAAUUUCUGUAUUCUGUAGCACGUAGUGGUGUAGGACUAUUUGCCAGACAUUAUUGCUGGUUCUUUUUUUAUUGGAUCAGGCAUGGAAGUUAAAUUGCAUUUUUUUUAAUCUGUAAAAUUGUUUGUUCCUUUUUUAGUAUCCAAUAUGUCACAGACCGCUCGAUAGAUAGAUGGGCUCUCACGAAUUCAUAGGUUACAAUCCCCAGCGUCUUGCCGGGAGGAUCGAAUCCAGAUGAACUCACGAGUUCAUCGGAAGGGGGAGAAAGAGAAGUCUCAACCACUCGGGUUGUUUACAGGAGAAUAGUUCUGACUGCUUUCCCCAUCCUCGCUUUGCUGUCUUCAUGGUGCGGCAUUUUUAUCACGAGAAAAUUCUGGACCCUUAUGAUGCGUGCUCACAUGAACUUCGUGUUCUCUUCUUUUACCUCUGCCAUUGAAUUGUUCGCUUAUUACAUUCCUUUAUUAAAAAUUAGAAUGCUCAUAUAGUGCAUUAUGUUUGCCUUGAGCAAGUAGCAUGACAACCGUUUGUGGAAUUAAACUUGGCGCCUUGCUUUCCGUACCUUUUUGUUUAAUGGAUGAACUACUAAUUUCUUAUUUGCUUUAUAUGUUCCAAAUGCCGACAUUAAGAGAAUUUUCAUAUAUAUGCUUAAUUGCAGAAUUUCUUCGCACUUGUGUAUUCUGAUGCUUCCGGUUUAGAAGAAACUUAUAUAUUUCAGUACCGACCUUGAUCCAUUUAUUUUGUUAAGCGCUGCCACCAACUACUCAAACACGAAGUACCAAAACUAUUCUCUUAUUUUUCUUGGUCAAAGGAAGUUCCAGAAUUGCCUUUUUAGACUAUAUAUGUAGGUAAUUGGUUCGAUCUUGUGUCAUUUUUUGCUAGGUUUCAUUGGUUCUAUCAUUGAAUGAUAACUGGUAGGAGAUCAAGGUAUGGAAGAAGACUCUUGAAUUUGUGGGAUACAUAAGUGAGGGAUCUGUUCAAAUAGCAGAGGAAACUGUAGCGUACAAAAUUCAGUGCAUUUAUCCGCAGGAUCAUUCACACACUAUUUUCCCUAUCCUGUGUGACCCUUCAAUCCUGAAAAAUUAUUUGUCCUGAACUCCACCUUGGCGUCUGGCCGUCGCAACCACCUAAUUCCAUCUCCAUCAAAGUAAAGCUAGCUCAACCACAGCAAAUAGAAGUAUAUGUGUCGCUGAAAUGACCAAAGUAAUUGUUCCCGAGACAUGCUAUAAUAUGGAGUACCUCCAUAUCCAUGAUCUUGAGAAAUGCAAUUGGCUUGAAAAGGUUGCUGAACUUUUGAAGGACAUCCAAGCGGGUUUGCUUAAGAGUGUUUCCGCAUUAAUGGUGAGAUGGUAUUCGAUCCUUAAUUUGUUUGGGUUAUAGAGCCAUUGCCAUCACACGGGUCAUUGAUGCC